rnacentral:rRNA from 1 species
UACGGAAGGCAGCAGUGGGGAAUAUUGCACAAUGGGCGAAAGCCUGAUGCAGCUAUGCCGCGUGUAUGAAGAAGGCCUUAGGGUUGUAAAGUACUUUCAUCGGGGAGGAAAAACAAAACUAAUAAUUUUAUUUCUUGACGUUACCCGAAAAAGAAGCACCGGCUAACUCCGUGCCAGCAGCCGCGGUAAUACGGAGGGUGCUAGCGUUAAUCAGAAUUACUGGGCGUAAAGAGCACGUAGGUGGUUUUUUUAAGUCAGAUGUGAAAUCCCUGGGCUUAACCUAGGAACUGCAUUUUGAAACUGAAAUACUAGAGUAUCGUAGAGGGAGGUAGAAUUCUAGGUGUAGCGGUGAAAUGCGUAGAUAUCUGGAGGAAUACCUGUGGCGAAAGCGGCCUCCUAAACGAAUACUGACACUGAGGUGCGAAAGCGUGGGGAGCAAACAGGGAUAGAUACCCGU